GUGCCAGCCGCCGCGGUAAUACCGGCAGCCCGAGUGAUGGCCGAUCUUAUUGGGCCUAAAGCGUCCGUAGCUGGCUGCGCAAGUCCGUCGGGAAAUCCACUCGCUCAACGAGUGGGCGUCCGACGGAAACUGCACAGCUUGGGACAGGAAGGCUCGAGGGGUACGUUCGGGGUAGGAGUGAAAUCCCGUAAUCCUGAACGGACCGCCGAUGGCGAAAGCACCUCGAGAGGACUGAUCCGACAGUGAGGGACGAAAGCUGGGGUCUCGAACCGGAUUAGAAACCCGGGUAGUCC
rnacentral:rRNA from 1 species